rnacentral:tRNA from 1 species
GCCUGGGUGGCACAGCGGUUGAGCGUCUGCCUUCGGCUCAGGGCGUGAUCCCGGCGUUAUGGGAUCGAGUCCCAUGUCAGGCU